rnacentral:rRNA from 1 species
GAGUUUGAUCGUGGCUCAGAUUGAACGCUGGCGGCAUGCCUUACACAUGCAAGUCGAACGGCAGCAUGAUCUAGCUUGCUAGAUUGAUGGCGAGUGGCGAACGGGUGAGUAAUACAUCGGAACGUGCCCUGUAGUGGGGAGUAACUAGUCGAAAGAUUAGCUAAUACCGCAUACGACCUGAGGGUGAAAGUAGGGGGACCGGCAAGGCCUCAUGCUAUAGGAGCGGCCGAUGUCUGAUUAGCUAGUUGGUGGGGUAAAGGGCCCGACCAAGGCGACGAUCAGUAGCUGGUCUGAGAGGAC